rnacentral:rRNA from 1 species
AUUGAACGCUGGCGGCAUGCCUUACACAUGCAAGUCGAACGGCAGCACGGGUGCUUGCACCUGGUGGCGAGUGGCGAACGGGUGAGUAAUACAUCGGAACAUGUCCUGUAGUGGGGGAUAGCCCGGCGAAAGCCGGAUUAAUACCGCAUACGAUCCACGGAUGAAAGCGGGGGCCCUUCGGGCCUCGCGCUAUAGGGUUGGCCGAUGGCUGAUUAGCUAGUUGGUGGGGUAAAGGCCUACCAAGGCGACGAUCAGUAGCUGGUCUGAGAGGACGACCAGCCACACUGGAACUGAGACACGGCCCAGACUCCUACGGGAGGCAGCAGUGGGGAAUUUUGGACAAUGGGCGAAAGCCUGAUCCAGCAAUGCCGCGUGUGUGAAGAAGGCCUUCGGGUUGUAAAGCACUUUUGUCCGGAAAGAAAUCCUUGACUCUAAUACAGUCAGGGGAUGACGGUACCGGAAGAAUAAGCACCGGCUAACUACGUG